ensembl:rRNA 5S_rRNA 5S ribosomal RNA
UCCAUGGCCAUACCACCUGCACGUGCCUGAUCUUGUCUGACCUUGGAAGCUAAGCAGGGGUAGGGCCUGGUUAAUAUGUGGAUGGAAGAAAGUAGGGUAGUAGAUGCCAGAGGCUGGUGGAA